rnacentral:lncRNA from 1 species
ACUUUUCUUGUACACAGGAACAAUAUUAGAAAUCCAGUUGGCAUAUCGACAUUGCCGAAUGAACCCUACUUCAAUCAAUCUUGUGAUUUUGGCUUUAAUAUCAGGUAGAAUUUUUGGAUUACAAUGUCGUGCGGGCUGUUGAUAUGGCUGAUACCCUUGUUUUAUGGGCAACCGGUGUUCGACAAUUGACCGGUCUAGACCAGGCAUCUCAUGAUACUCCCAAGCAAAGCAAUCUUAAAAUUCUCUUAACAAAUCUACUAACUCACGCUUAUACUCAAGGUCUAAUUUAGCACUGAUAUACGUCAGCCUCCACUUGCUACCAUCUCCAAGAUCC